GUUGUUAAAUUCCGUCUACAGGCAGAGGGUGUCUGCGGGAGGCAAAAUGCAGCUUCUUCUUGCGUUUAGCUGCCUGGCGGUCCUGGGAUCGGCUGUCGCGGAAUCAUCAGAACCUCACUAUCUAGUCACGGUUCCGGAAACCAUAUCGUUUCCAUCCAAGCACAAAGCAUGUUUGACCAUCCAACACCUUAAAGGUUCGGCAAACCUUAAGCUGCAACUGGAAAAUCCA